GAUGAACGCUCGCGGCAGGCCUAAUACAUGCAAGUCGGACGGGAUUCAGGAGCUUGCUUCUGAUGAGAGUGGCGCACGGGUGCGUAACACGUAUGUAACCUACCUUUAUCAGGGGGAUAGCCUCUCGAAAGAGAGAUUAAGCCCGCAUAAAAUUACAGCACAGCAUUGUGUAAUUAUCAAAUAUUUAUUGGAUAAAGAUGGGCAUGCGGAACAUUAGCUAGAUGGCUGGGUAACAGCCCACCAUGGCGACGAUGUUUAGGGGAUAUGAGAGGAUGGCACCCCAGAAUGGGAAUGAGACACAGACCAGAACCGGAGGGGAGGCAGGAGUAUGGUAUAUUAGGCACGGGGGGGAAGCCUGAACAAGCCAUGCCGCGUGAAGGAAGACGGCGCUACGGGUUGUAUGCUGCUUUUAAACGGGAAUAAACCAAGAUACGUGUAUCUGGCUGAAUGUACUGUAAGAAUAAGGAACGGCUAACUACGUG
rnacentral:rRNA from 1 species